AUUGAACGCUGGCGGCAGGCCUAACACAUGCACGUCGAGCGGAGCGGAGGACGGGUGAGUAAUGCGUUGGAAUCUGCCUGGUAGACGGGGAUAACGUACGGAAAGGGGCGCUAAUACCGCAUACUAUCAGAUGAGCCUAGGUCGGAUUAGCUAGUUGGUGGGGUAAAGGCCUACCAAGGCGACGAUCCGUAACUGGUCUGGGAGGAUGAUCAGUAACACUGGAACUGCGACACGGUCCAGACUCCUACGGGAGGCAGCAGUGGGUAAUAGUGGACAAUGGGCGAUAGCCUGAUCCAGCCAUGCCUCGUGUGUGAAGAAGGUCUUCGGAUUGUAAAGCACUUUAAGUUGGGAGGCGUUACCAACAGAAUAAGCACCGGCUAACUUCGUGCCAGCAGCCGCGGUAAUUC
rnacentral:rRNA from 1 species